rnacentral:sRNA from 2 species
AAACCAAACUUGCUGAAUCCCAGCUUUGCUGGGUACGGAGGAACCAAUCAGAGGGGUUAAUCCAAGUAAACUUGGUAGGAAACCUUCUUUCCCGAGCCCGUCAGCUAACUUCGGAAGCAUAAUAGAAGGAGUGA